ACGCUCGACACGUACGGGAGACAGCAGUAGGGAAUCUUCCACAAUGGACGCAAGUCUGAUGGAGCAACGCCGCGUGAGUGAAGAAGGUCUUCGGAUCGUAAAACUCUGUUGUUAGAGAAGAACACGAGUGAGAGUAACUGUUCAUUCGAUGACGGUAUCUAACCAGCAAGUCACGGCUAACUACGUGCCAGCAGCCGCGGUAAUCUGAGCGGGCUGGCAAGGC
rnacentral:rRNA from 1 species